AGGCAGCAGUGGGGAAUAUUGCACAAUGGGGGAAACCCUGAUGCAGCGACGCCGCGUGAAGGAUGAAGUAUUUCGGUAUGUAAACUUCUAUCAGCAGGGAAGAAAAUGACGGUACCUGACUAAGAAGCCCCGGCUAACUACGUGCC
rnacentral:rRNA from 1 species